CAGUUCUGGUCAAGCUCCCUGUGUCGGCACCAGGGGUGGAGGCACGCAGCCUCUGGCUCCAUGGGCUGGCAUGCAGCUGUGAGCUGAUGGCUCCAACUGUGCUGUUAUCGCGCUUGCCUUUCAGUGGGAAAGGCAGAAAUCGCUCUCACGUCUCUCUUAAUACGCCGUCUCCUGGACUUUUCACUUCCAUUAGGUGUCAUGCACUCCCUUUGGUUCUCUCCGUGCAGGGAUGGUGAUGAAACAGAGCCAGUGCAGCUGAGAAAUUGGAGGACGGGUGCAGGUCAUGUAAAGCCUCCGGAAAGCACUAACUUGCUAGAGGAGUCCACCAGCAGCAGAGUUUUAGAUGGCACCAGGAAUGAGGAAACUUGGCUAUUUUCAUCCUAGCUGCCUCCAUCUCCUAAUGACACCUGCAGAGCUUCAGACUUUUUUUUCCUUUUGCCAAAUCCUGCCUGGCUCACCACGGAGCCAUGGCCAAUGAGGACACAUAAAAUAUUACAAUAUUAGUAACUUGUUUGAACGUUGCUAUGAAACAGGUCAGAAGGGCCAGCGUGAGGCCCUGUUUGUGCAGUCACCCGCAGAGGAAAAGAG
rnacentral:lncRNA from 1 species